AUGCAUGCCUAAGUACAGCUCGGUGGUAACACCGGGCGAAACCGCAGACGGCUCAUUAAAUCAGUUGUGGUCUAAGUGGGCGACAGUUUUCCCUAGUUGGAUAACUGUGGAAAAUCCAGAGCUAAUACAUGCGACACACAGUCCUCAGCAAACCCAACACUUGUGCUGGUCCCUUGCUCUGGAUGCUUUUAUUAGACCGAGGCGCGCGCAUGCGUGACUUACUCCUCGUUUCGGCGGGGCUGCGGUCACUAGUGCGAUGUACGUAAGCGCUUAAAGGUGACUCUGGAUAACAAUGAUAAGCGUGGCUUAAUUGACACGCUGCCUACUUACGAGUGACUGACCUAUCAGCUCCUAAUGUAUGUUAUACGCGAACAUUGGCUCUGACGGGUAACGGGGAAUCAGAGUUCGAUUCCGGAGAGGCAGCCUGAGAAACGGCUACCACG
rnacentral:rRNA from 1 species